UCUUGCCUAGGAUUGGCUCAAAACCCUAAUCCAAGCUAUACAAGUCUCCAAUUUCACAUCUUCCUUCUACAUGUAUACGAGCUAAUUUAUGGCGUGGAAGCGCACAUUGAAGAAGUUUAAGGAUCUGUAGAAGGAUCCUCUAGUUGAACCCAAAUUUAAAAAUGAAAGAAGUCUCCCACAUCAUGCGACACUGGGACAGGAUUCUAGAACACAAAUGGUGUCAAUAAAGGACGAGUUUGAAGGCCUAUAAUGUUCUUUUUUCUUAUCACAUAUGUACACUGACAUUAAACAAUCUACAAUAUUUUUUGUAAUGGAAGUAUUUACAUUAUUCAA